rnacentral:rRNA from 1 species
GUAAGGAAUAUUGGACAAUGGGCGCAAGCCUGAUCCAGCCAUCCCGCGUGCAGGAAUAAGGCCCUAUGGGUCGUAAACUGCUUUUACAAGAGAAGAAACGCUAGGAUUUAUCUUAGUCUGACGGUAUCUUGGGAAUAAGCACCGGCUAACUCCGUGCCAGCAGCCGCGGUAAUACGGAGGGUGCAAGCGUUAUCCGGAAUCACUGGGUUUAAAGGGUGCGUAGGCGGCUAAAUAAGUCAGAGGUGAAAUCUUUCCGCUUAACGGAAAAAUUGCCUUUGAAACUGUAUAGCUUGAAUGAAGUUGAGGUUAGCGGAAUGUGACAUGUAGCGGUGAAAUGCAUAGAUAUGUCAUAGAACACCAAAUGCGAAGGCAGCUAGCUAGGCUUGAAUUGACGCUGAGGCACGAAAGCGUGGGGAGCGAACAGG